UAAUGGCGACUCUAAAGGAGAAGCUCACGAAUGCGGUGAACACUGUCAUACUGGACACAUAGAGCUGAGUGAAACAACAGUCCCCAAAGGAUCAGCAAGCCCCGGCAAGUAUUUAGGAGUCCUUAGGGCCAAGAAGGUUUGAGAAGGAAUUUACUUAUGGAUAUACAGCACUGCUACCUUUGCCCUGAGCUCCAGGUACAUACUAACUACUAAUGCAAUUUUCAAGUACAGAAGUCCAUGUUUGAAUAAAAUCAUCAACAGGAAGGAAGGAAGGAAGGAAGGAAGGAGGGAAGGAAGGAAAAGGUGGAACCCUGCCACUUGGAGCCAUUCCUCUCCCAGGUGGAACAAAGCACUGCAAAAAUGAUCUUUACAGAAGACAAAUCCUGAUCCUAUUAAAUGGAGCAAGGAAGAAGGAGGUAUCUUCAACACCUCUUUUAAGAGAGGAUGAACUGUCCCCUCAUGUCUCUCCACUAUGGAAAGCUCUCUUAUCUUACGAUGGGUAAAAUCACAGUCCCGAAUCCAGAGGUCAGGUUGCAUUUGUGAAGCUCUAAUAAAUAUGGACAAUAUUUUAAUAACAAA